rnacentral:rRNA from 1 species
UACGAAGGGGGCUAGCGUUGUUCGGAAUUACUGGGCGUAAAGCGCGCGCAGGCGGUUCUUCAAGUCAGAGGUGAAAGCCCAGAGCUCAACUCUGGAAUGGCCUUUGAGACUAGAGAACUAGGGUACGGGAGAGGUGAGUGGAAUUCCGAGUGUAGAGGUGAAAUUCGUAGAUAUGCGGAGGAACACCGGUGGCGAAGGCGGCCAUCUGGACAGCCACUGACGCUGAGACGCGAAAGCGUGGGGAGCAAACAGG